UGAUGAUGAUGAUGAUGAUGAUGAAGAUUUGUCUGGAGUAAAAAAAAGGCGUUGUUACUACUUUUACCUUUUAAGAUUAAAGAAGAAAAACUUUUAUGGGACUUUUUGGUUGAUAGUAUUAAUCUGGUGUAGAAUUAGAAUCUGUACUGUAAACUCAUUUUCACUGUUUAGAAGUUCAUUUUGAGUAAAAAAGAAGUGUCGUUUUCUAAUGGGAUCACGGAUCUCUUUCCCCAUUCUUAUUGGAUAGGGNNNNNNNNNNNNUCCCAGCUGUAUCUGUAUCCGUGUUCUGAUUUGUGUUCAAAGGAUAUAUAUUAACUUUGAGUCAACCUCUUGUGUGUGUCAGCGUAAAUUAUUGCUAGUAGUAUAUUAUAUACUUCCUCCCCUCAUAUUAUGGAGGUCACUCACACAUUUACAGCUUUUUUUUUCCACCACCAUUAUCCGAUUCUGGGAAUCGCCUAAUCUAGUUUGAAGAUCAGUUAUGUUAUAAAGUAGUUUUAGUUUCCUUUCAAUCGAUGUUGUGAGAGAUUAGACUAUGAUCUUUCCUACUAAGUACAUCGUCAAUUAUCACAAAACUAAUUAACGAUAAUAAAGUGUACUACUACUGUAUUGAUAAUAAAGUAAUAAAUAUUGAUGAUGAAUCUUGAAUUUAGAAGUUUCUGAUUAGAGUUUACUAAUAUUUUUAGAGAAAGAUAAAAAUAGAUAGAUAUUUUUGUAAUUACAACGAAA
rnacentral:lncRNA from 1 species